rnacentral:rRNA from 1 species
AUUGAACGCUGGCGGCAGGCCUAACACAUGCAAGUCGAACGGAAACAGGAAGACGUUUGCUUCUUUGCUGACGAGGGGCGGACGGGUGUGACAUGUCUGGGAAACUGCCUGAUGGAGGGGGUUAACUACUGGAAACGGUAGCUAAUACCGCAUAACGUUGCAAGCCCAAAAAGGGGGACCUUCGGGCCUCUUGCCUUCGGCUGUGCCCAGAUGGGAUUAGCUAGUAGGUGGGGUAACGGCUUACCUAGGCGACGAUCCCUAGCUGGUCUGAGAGGAUGAACAGCCACACUGGAACUGAGACACGGUCCAGACUCCUACGGGAGGCAGCAGUGGGGAAUAUUGCACAAUGGGCGCAAGCCUGAUGCAGCCAUGCCGCGUGUAUGAAGAAGGCCUUCGGGUUGUAAAAUACUUUCAGCGGGGAGGAAGAGAGUAGAGUUAAUCCCUGUACUCAUUGACGUUACCCGCAGAAGAAGCACCGGCUAACUCCGUG